UUUUAUGGAGAGUUUGAUCCUGGCUCAGAGUGAACGCUGGCGGCGUGCCUAAUACAUGCAAGUCGAACGAUGAAGCUUCUAGCUUGCUAGAAGUGGAUUAGUGGCGCACGGGUGAGUAAGGUAUAGUUAAUCUGCCCUACACAAGAGGACAACAGUUGGAAACGAC
rnacentral:rRNA from 2 species